UAGUUCAGUUGGUAGAAUGCUUGCCUUGCAUGCAUGAGGCCCUGAGUUCAGUCCUCAG
rnacentral:tRNA from 1 species